UUAUUUAUCACUUUGCAGCAUGUGCAAAAUGUGUUUUCUCUUGUCUCCCGCUUUCUGGGGCAAUACAGAAUAUUUCCCCAAAAGCUAUGCAGCCCUGAGCCACCUGCCAGAUUCCCAUGUAUUAUAAUAUUUUCGGCCAGCUGCUGUGGUAGCUGUUCAUGCCAAGGGCAAGAAUUCCCCAGCUCUGGUUUUAGCUUUCGCACAGUCCGGAGCCUGCUUUCAGCCAGUGCCGAACUGUGAGCGUAAGGCCUGACUCAGCCAGAGUUAAAAUAAAAGGUCAAACUUCUCAGAGCCCGUAACCAGUUGGUGGAGCCCAGGUAUCGUGCCCUGCUCCGAGUGUCAGUGCGAGGCAUCCCCUUCCCCUCUGCUUUAGUGCUCAAUCCCAGUCCCUUACUGGGGGCCUUCUGGGCAGAAUAGCACAUAUAUAGGCAUAAUGAUCCCAGAGGAGAUUUUUGGCAGCAAAUACUGACGUGGCUGAUUGCUGGGAGCUGGUGUUGUACCUCUGGCUGGGCUACCCUUAACCCCAGCUCUGCCAGGGACAUGCUGCUGAACUGGGUGAGCCAGAAGGAAAGGUUGUGCUCAGUCACUGAAAAAGUCCAAGUGGAGAAGAGGACAUCUGGGAACAAGUGACUUCGUGCCACUUGUAACUGGUAGCUGGAGAGGCUUUGGUGUUAUAGAGCUGGGUCCCAUCAACACAGCUGGGAGCCAUGAAGGGGAAAUGCUAAAGAGACCUUUCCAUCUCAGUAGAUCUCCCUCAACAUUCUCCAGGUUGAGCUCUUUGCCACAUCUUUGGUAGCUGUGGAGACAUCCUUUCUCAAGAAGCAGUGCAGGGCGAGGGGAGGUUGAGCACUUAUACUGCAAACACUAAUGGUGUCUUUCUUCUUUGUGGGUAUGUUAAUCCAAACAACUUAUUAAAGAGCUGAGCCAGUUCUCACAUA